GACAGAGGGUGCAAACGUUGUUCGGAAUUACUGGGCGUAAAGCGCGUGUAGGCGGCUCUGCAAGUCGGAUGUGAAAUCCCACGGCUCAACCAUGGAAGUGCAUUCGAAACUGCAGGGCUAGAGUUCUGGAGAGGAAGGUGGAAUGCUUGGUGUAGAGGUGAAAUUCGUAGAUAUCAAGCGGAACACCGGUGGCGAAGGCGGCCUUCUGGACAGUAACUGACGCUGAGACGCGAAAGCGUGGGGAGCAAACAGG
rnacentral:rRNA from 1 species